rnacentral:rRNA from 1 species
UACAGAGGGGCCGAGCGUUAGGCGGAAUCACUGGGCUUAAAGCGUGUGUAGGCGGGUCGUUAAGUGUCUUGUGAAAUCCCCCGGCUCAACCGGGGAAUGGCUGGGCAUACUGGCGAUCUUGAGCAGUCUAGGGGCAGAUGGAACAAGUGGUGGAGCGGUGAAAUGCGUAGAUAUCACUUGGAACGCCAACGGUGAAGACAGUCUGCUGGGGACUUGCUGACGCUGAGACACGAAAGCCAGGGGAGCGAACGGG